GCGGAAGCGGCGGCGGAAGCGGCGGGAGCGGCGGGAGCGGGCGGAGCGAGCGGAGCCAUGUCGGGCCGGGAGGGCGGCAAGAAGAAGCCGCUGAAGCAGCCGAAGAAGCAGACGAAGGACCUGGAUGAGACGGAUCUGGCAUUCAAACAAAAACAGAAGGAGGAGCAAAAGAAACUUGAGGAGAUGAAAGCAAAAGCUGCUGGAAAAGGGCCCCUGGCCAGUGGUGGAAUAAAGAAGUCUGGCAAAAAGUAGCUUGAUCAAACCGCAGGGUAAGAAGGGAUCAAGUUACUCAAUGGACCUGCAGGCUUCAGAGAGUCUUGAAAACACUCGGUCAUUUGAGAAACAUUGUACAUUUUGUUUAGUCAGAAUAAAUCCUUUUUGUUAAGAUGUGA